rnacentral:rRNA from 1 species
AUGUCAUGUCGAUGGUAUUGUGUUCCUAAUUUGCUCAUAUUUCCAACAAUCCAAAAACCUGAUUAUAGGCAAUUUACUCUGAGUGGUUUUGCUACGCAUCUGAAGCCGCCUGCCUUUAAGGGGGCGCAAUAUAAGAGGUGGCGCACGAGAGCAGUCUACUGGUUUCAGACCAUGGGCUGCUAUGACGCCACUAAGGGCAAGCCUGAGGGCGAUCUUAAUCCAGCACAGCUGAAAGCUUUUGGGAAGAUUGAUACUCUCUUUAAAGGCGCUCUUCUAGGUGUUCUUGAUGAUUUCAUUGUGGAUUCGUAUAUGUCGUUUGACAACGGCAAGGACAUGUGGGCUGCGCUCGAGGCCAAGUUUGGUGCCUCGGACGCCGGUAGCGAGUUGUAUGUCAUGGAGCAAUUCUAUGACUACAAGAUGACUGAUGAGCGCUCUGUUGUAUAG